rfam:Thalassotalea sp. ND16A ctg127, whole genome shotgun sequence.
AACACCAGAAGAGGUUGCAUUAGCCAGGUAGGUAAUUUGAGGGGCCACACCCCAAAGACAAUUAUUGAGGGGGACUAAUGCCGAGAAUGAACGCGAAUAGCCAAUUUUUAAUAAAUUACUAGGUGGAAAGCGUCAUUCGGUCAUAACGGUUGAAUCCUUAUGACUGUCACCGAAACGGUGGAGAGCUUCUGGCUGA